GAUGAAGAACGUAGCGAAAUGCGAUAAGUAAUGUGAAUUGCAGAAUUCAGUGAAUCAUCGAAUCUUUGAACGCACAUUGCGCCCCCUGGUAUUCCGGGGGGCAUGCCUGUCCGAGCGUCAUUUACCCCCUCAAGCUCCGCUUGGUGUUGGGCGUCUGUCCCGCUUCGCGCGCGGACUCGCCCCAAAGGUAUUGGCAGCGGUCGUGCCAGCUUCUCGCGCAGCACAUUGCGCUUCUCGAGGCACCGGUGGGCCCGCGUCCAUCAAGCUCACCCCCCCAGUUUGACCUCGGAUCAGGUAGGGAUACCCGCUGAACUUAAGCAUAUCAAUAAGCGGAGGA
rnacentral:misc_RNA from 1 species